UCUUAUGAAUGUGCAAAUAAAGUGUUUUUUUGAGAUGGAAUAUGCUCCUGGUGAAGAUGCUGUGAA
rnacentral:pre_miRNA from 2 species